CCUACGGGGGACAGCAGUGGGGGAUAUUGCACAAUGGGGGAAACCCUGAUGCAGCGACGCCGCGUGUAGGAAGACGGUCCUCUGGAUUGUAAACUACUGUCCCCAGGGACGAAGCUGACGGUACCUGGGGAGGACGCUCCGGCUAACUACGUGCCAGCAGCCGCGGUCAUACGUAGGGAGCGAGGGUUGUCCGGAAUUACUGGGUGUAAAGGGAGCGUAGGCGGGGAUGCAAGUUGGGUGUUAAAUCUACCGGCUCAACUGGUAGUCGCACUCAAAACUGCAGCUCUUGAGUGAAGUAGAGGCAGGCGGAAUUCGUAGUGUAGCGGUGAAAUGCGUAGAUAUUACGAAGAACUCCAGUUGCGAAGGCAGCCUGCUGGGCUGUGACUGACGCUGAGGCUCGAAAGUGUGGGGAGCAAACAGGAUUAGAUACCCCGGUAGUC
rnacentral:rRNA from 1 species